rnacentral:rRNA from 1 species
UGGGGAAUAUUGGACAAUGGGCGAAAGCCUGAUCCAGCAAUGCCGCGUGAGUGAUGAAGGCCUUAGGGUUGUAAAGCUCUUUUACCAGGGAUGAUAAUGACAGUACCUGGAGAAUAAGCUCCGGCUAACUCCGUGCCAGCAGCCGCGGUAAUACGGAGGGAGCUAGCGUUGUUCGGAAUUACUGGGCGUAAAGCGCGCGUAGGCGGUUUUUCAAGUCAGGGGUGAAAUCCCGGAGCUCAACUCCGGAACUGCCCUUGAAACUGGAUGACUAGAAUCCUGGAGAGGCGAGUGGAAUUCCGAGUGUAGAGGUGAAAUUCGUAGAUAUUGGGUGGAACACCAGUGGCGAAAGCGGCUCUCUGGUCCGGAUCUGACGCUGAGGCGCGAAAGCGUGGGGAGCAAACAGGAUUAGAUACCCGGGUAGUCC